rnacentral:rRNA from 1 species
AACGAACGCUGGCGGCAGGCUUAACACAUGCAAGUCGAACGCAUCCUUCGGGGUGAGUGGCAGACGGGUGAGUAACGCGUGGGAACGUGCCCUUCAGUUCGGGAUAACCCAGGGAAACUUGGGCUAAUACCGGAUACGUGCGAGAGCAGAAAGAUUUAUCGCUGAAGGAUCGGCCCGCGUCUGAUUAGCUAGUUGGUGGGGUAAUGGCCCACCAAGGCGACGAUCAGUAGCUGGUCUGAGAGGAUGAUCAGCCACAUUGGGACUGAGACACGGCCCAAACUCCUACGGGAGGCAGCAGUGGGGAAUAUUGGACAAUGGGCGCAAGCCUGAUCCAGCCAUGCCGCGUGAGUGAUGAAGGCCUUAGGGUUGUAAAGCUCUUUCGUCCGGGACGAUAAUGACGGUACCGGAAGAAGAAGCCCCGGCUAACUUCGUGCCAGCCGCCGCCGUAACAC